rnacentral:rRNA from 1 species
CCCUUAGAUGUCCUGGGCUGCACGCGCGCUACACUGACACGUUCAACGAGUUUUGCCUGCUCCGAUGGGACUGGGUAAUCUUAUGAAAGCGUGUCGUGAUGGGGAUAGAUUAUUGCAAUUAUUAAUCUUCAACGAGGAAUUCCUAGUAAGUACAAGUCAUCAGCUUGUGCUGAUUACGUCCCUGCCCUUUGUACACACCGCCCGUCGCUCCUACCGAUUGAAUGCUCAGGUGAGCCAUUCGGACUUUCAUCAUGCUGGUUUCCAGUUUUGAUGAAGGAAAGUCUUGCGAACCUUAUCAUUUAGAGGAAGGAGAAGUCGUAACA